UGCGAUGUUGUAUCAUGUAUUGGAUACUU
rnacentral:sRNA from 1 species